UGCAAGUUUAAAAAAAACACCAUUAAGAGUAUAAUCAAUAUAUGUAAAAACAAUUCGGAUGGCGAAAUCAACAAAUAGAAGCAGAAAAUGUCAAAAAAAAAAGAAAUACUCUAUAAUAUUUUUGUCGAUCAAAAGUUUACAAAGCCCAUCGGUAAUAAUAUUUGGACAAGAUAUUUACAAUUAUAAUACACACCACAUAUGCCAUUUGUAUACAAUUUUAUAUUUAGAAUUUCAAAAGGAAAC
rnacentral:lncRNA from 1 species